rnacentral:rRNA from 1 species
CCCUUAGAUGUCCUGGGCCGCACGCGCGCUACACUGAUGCAUUCAACGAGUUUUACCUUGGCCGAGAGGCCUGGGCAAUCUUUUGAACGUGCAUCGUGAUAGGGAUAGAUUAUUGCAAUUAUUAAUCUUGAACGAGGAAUUCCUAGUAAACGCAGAUCAUCAAUCUGCAUUGAUUACGUCCCUGCCCUUUGUACACACCGCCCGUCGCACCUACCGAUUGAAUGGUCCGGUGAAGCCUCGGGAUUGUGGCGAGUUCCCUUUAUUGGGAGUUUGUUGCGAGAACUUGUCUAAACCUUAUCAUUUAGAGGAAGGUGAAGUCGUAACA